ensembl:lncRNA
GGCCAGGCAGACCCUCCGCCGGACACGACUCCGGGAGAAACGUGUUUUAAAUCCAAGCUCUUGAGCUUCUAACCGGGGAGCGCGCGCGAGUGUGUGAAGAGGCUGGGAACCUUGGUUUUCAGAGACUCUAGAAGAAACUUCUCGCCUCCCUCUCCUCCCGAGGACAGCCGGGACUGUGGGUGAACGAGUCUCAUCGGGUCGGGUCGGGGCCCUGCGGGACCGGUUUGCCUGACCCGACCGCGCUCGCAUUGGAAAGCCGAGGCUCGAUCGGCCGGCCGGGCUGCCUAACCCCCGCCCCACAGCAGCGGCGUCCCUCGCGCGCCGCCGCGUUUCCCGCGCUCUCGGCCGGUACUUCCCGGCGCGGCCUACAAGGCCCCGUGCGGCCCCGCCUCCGGGUCCCGCUCGGUCUCCGGCUGCGAGAGGGAAGGCGGAGGUUAUCCGCCGAGGGACCAGCGGCGCGGACCGAUACUUUGUUUCUCCAUAAACCAAAAGGGAUACCACUAUAUGCUGUUGUUAUAAGAGAAUUGCAUCUUGGUUCCUGAGCAGAAGGGAAAAUGAGCUUGAAGAUGAGGCUUGAAGGAGAAAGAAGGGCUGGGGAGAAAUAUGCAUAUACAGGAGCUACCUCUCAAGUCAUUGACUUCCACUCAAGAAAACAGAACAUGAGGAAACCAUCCAAUAAGAAGGCAAGUCUCUUCAUAAACCUUUCAAGAACAUCUUUUGGUAGGACUAUGUCAAACAUUUUUUUUUUUUUUUUGUCAAACAUUUUUGUGUAG